GAUGAACGCUGGCGGCGUGCCUAAUACAUGCAAGUCGAGCGAACAGACGAGGAGUUUGUUCCUCUGACGUUAGCGGCGGAUGGGUGAGUAACACGUGGCUAACCUACCUAUAAGACUGGGAUAACUUCGGGAAACCGGAGCUAAUACCGGAUAAUAUAUUGAACCGCAUGGUUCAAUAGUGAAAGACGGUUUUGCUGUCACUUAUAGAUGGAUCCGCGCCGCAUUAGCUAGUUGGUAAGGUAACGGUUUACUAAGGCAACGAUGCGUAGCCGACCUGAGAGGGUGAUCGGCCACACUGGAACUGAGACGCGGUCCAGACUCCUACGGGAGGCAGCAGUAGGGAAUCUUCAGCCAUGGGCGAAAGCCUGACGGAGAAGCGCCGCGUGAGUGAUGAAGGUCUUCGGAUCGUAAAACUCUGUUAUUAGGGAAGAACAAAUGUGUAAGUAACUAUGCACGUCUUGACGGUACCUAAUCAGAAAGCCACGGCUAACUACGUG
rnacentral:rRNA from 1 species